UAUGCCUGUCCGAGCGUCAUAAGUCCACUCGAGCACUGCUUGGUAUUAGGCCCAAUCGAAUUUGAUAGGCCCUAAAUCUAGUGGCGGCAGUUCUAAAUGUCUGAGCGUAGUAGAACUUCUUCUCGCUACAGACUGCAGCGCUGUGGCCAAAAACCUUCUAGGUUGACCUCGGAUCAGGUAGGAAUACCCGCUGAACUUAA
rnacentral:misc_RNA from 1 species